rnacentral:rRNA from 1 species
UACGUAGGUGGCAAGCGUUGUCCGGAUUUAUUGGGUUUAAAGGGUGCGUAGGCGGCCCUGUAAGUCAGUGCUGAAAUAUCCCAGCUUAACUGGGAGGGUGGCAUUGAUACUGCGGGGCUAGAGUACAGAUAAGGUAGGCGGAAUUGACGGUGUAGCGGUGAAAUGCUUAGAUAUCGUCAAGAACACCUAUAGCGAAGGCAGCUUACUAGGCUGUAACUGACGCUGAGGCACGAAAGUGUGGGGAUCAAACAGG